UGGGGAAUAUUGCACAAUGGGGGAAACCCUGAUGCAGCGACGCCGCGUGAACGAAGAAGGUAUUCGUAUUGUAAAUUUCUGUCCUAUGGGAAGAUAAUGACAGUACCAUAGAAGAAAGCUCCCGCUAAAUACGUGCCAGCAGCCGCGGUAACACGUAUGGGGCGAGCGUUGUCUGGAAUUAUUGGGCGUAAAGGGUACGCAGGCGGUUUAAUAAGUCGAAUGUUAAAGAUCGGGGCUCAACCCCGUAAAGCAUUGGAAACUGAUAAACUUGAGUAGUGUAGAGGGAAGUGGAAUUCCUAGUGUAGUGGUGAAAUACGUAGAUAUUAGGAGGAAUACCAGUAGCGAAGGCGACUUUCUGGACUCAAACUGACGCUGAGGUACGAAAGCGUGGGGAGCAAACAGU
rnacentral:rRNA from 1 species